rnacentral:misc_RNA from 1 species
CCCAGGAUUGCAUUUGCUUCGGCAAAGGGUUGCCAGCUCGUCAAAACCUAAGCGUUCUGUCCACUCGCCUGGUUCUCGUCAGUCGCCAGUUCAGCCGCCAGGUCCGCUUCGUAGGACGUACGCCGAGGUUCUCAAGUCGACUGCUCUCUCUGGGAAAAUGGCUAAGGAAGGCGCCGAGGGGGAUGGCUGGAGAGUGAUGGAUCGCCGUCGUCAACAGGUACGAGGUCGUUCCUCGGGUGCUGGCAUCUGGUCGCUUCGCGGUCGUGCAAACUGGGAAGCCCGUGGUCGUGGUACCUGGCGUGGCCGUGGCGGUCGGUUCGUCGCGUCUGGUUCGUCGCUGGGCCUUGAUGCCAGGGUGGCUGUUGAGCGCAGUAGUGGUGUUCAGUCCGAGGCAGCUAAAAAAAGGGUGGCCGACGUUGCAUCUGGGGUAUCGGACAUGGGGAAGAAACGCCGUGAAGAGCUUUGUUGCGAAAUUUGUGAAGACAAUCAUGUGCCUGAGGAGUGUCCGGUAUUUAAUGGUCCAAAACCGCAGGCAGCUCUCUGUGGUUUUGCGGGAGGUGAAUCUGGUUUUUUUCAAAUUCCUACCUGGGGAGCAAAGGGGGUAUUACCAAGGUCGGAUGGUGUCACGGCCUUCAUAACAGUGAAGGAAGGGAAUGUUACUGCCGAACUCGUUAAGUCUGAACUCUCUAGACUUAUUCCAGUGAAGUGGAAUUGGUCGGUCCAGAAGCAUGCAGAUGGUUUUAUAGUGACAUUUCCGUGCAGAGUGGAGCUUCAACGUAUGAUUGCUAUGAAAUAUGUUCAUACGUUGGGAGGAGAAGGUAUCUUAGUAAUUCAAGAGGUUAACCAAAAAAUAGAACCGAUAUCUUAUCUGCAGAAGGCCUGGGUGAAUGUGUACGGGGUUCCUUUUGAGAUCCGCUCAUUUCUUCCUCUGUGGGCAGUUGGUUCUAUUUUGGGGGCAACUCAGAAAGUGGACAUGCGCUACACUCGGAAAAUGGGGGUGGUUCGAAUUUUGGUUGCAGUGACGGAUGUGAAUCAUAUCCCGGAAUCCGCAGAAAUAGUGGUUGGUGAAGGAUUAUACGAGAUAUUCUUCAAAGUUGACAAGGUCCUUAAAGAUGGUAGAUGGAUUGACAAUAAUAAUACGGGUACUCGAGACAGAGAUGAUAAGGAACAAGGUGAAAAUGAUGAUUUUACUGAGAAUCAUGAGAAUGAUAUUUUUCAGCCAGAGGAAGCAGUAGAAGACACUGUCAUGGAGGAUAAUUCCUUACAUAGUGACCCUAUGAAACCACAUGAUGAAUCUUCAGAUAUGGGGAUAGGGGUUCAGCACAGGAAACCGUUCAUUAAUGACUCAGUGACAUUGGAGUCAGAAGUUUUGACUUCGGUUGAGCCAACAGUUUUGAAUUUAAUGACCUCUACUUGCGCUGAUCAGCAUUUACAGCCAGCUCCUGAGGAAUAUGGACUGGAUUCGGUGAUUUGUAUUGCCGAUCAUGCUUCAGAUGGCCUGGAAUUGUCAACAGGAAGGGUUGGCGUUGAUGGAAAUCUCAGCAGCUUGAUUGAUUUGGCUCCAGACUGCUCGGUUCUUGCUAGUGGAUCCAUCAGUGAAGAGGGGCUGUCUGUGUCCAAAGUAAGUAUUCCAUCUCUGGAAGCAACAGUGCCAUUUGCUGGGAGAGAGAUCAACUUGGCUUUUGAUGAUAUUAAUAUUCCUUCUGCGGCUGACAGCUUGCUCAUCGAAAAACAUAAGACACGUGAGAGUACCAUUCACCUGGGACAUGUUAAUUAUUUUACUGAUGUACCCCGUUCUGUCCUCCAGGAGGCACUUAAGUCUAAUUCUCUUACUAAGAGAGUAAAGACUGAAAAACUUAAUCAAGGGGGUGUCAUGUUAAGUGCCAGGAGGACUAACACAGAUGAAGAUAUAUUGUCCAAAGCUCAGCGUCUGGCAGCAAAGCGUAAUUUAGAAAUCAUGUCGGCGUGCGAGUCAUCUCAAGCUGGAAGCGAUCGAUGUGGGCGUGUCGUGUCCCUGCCAUUCAUUCAUCAAUUCGCUCCCAGAUCCGCAGACAGGCACGGCACGCGGUGCCGAUCCUCAGCGAUCGUGUCACGUCGUGCUGGCGAGCAGUGAGCCAGUGACUGACUGACUGCAGAGUGAAAGUUCACGCAGUGUCCGAGUCGACGUAACGGCGGAAAAAGGUCAAACGGCAACAGGCACUUGUAUCGAGAGGCUUUUCCUUUCUCGUGAUAACCAUAAAGGCCGAAGAAGCAAGACCGAUCUCGUCUGACAAUGCCAUUGCAAAAAUAAGAGGACUAUAUCCAAGUUCACCGCAC